AGUGAACGCUGGCGGUAGGCCUAACACAUGCAAGUCGAACGGCAGCACAGUAAGAGCUUGCUCUUACGGGUGGCGAGUGGCGGACGGGUGAGGAAUACAUCGGAAUCUACUUUUUCGUGGGGGAUAACGUAGGGAAACUUACGCUAAUACCGCAUACGACCUACGGGUGAAAGCAGGGGAUCUUCGGACCUUGCGCGAUUGAAUGAGCCGAUGUCGGAUUAGCUAGUUGGCGGGGUAGAGGCCCACCAAGGCGACGAUCCGUAGCUGGUCUGAGAGGAUGAUCAGCCACACUGGAACUGAGACACGGUCCAGACUCCUACGGGAGGCAGCAGUGGGGAAUAUUGGACAAUGGGCGAAAGCCUGAUCCAGCCAUACCGCGUGGGUGAAGAAGGCCUUCGGGUUGUAAAGCCCUUUUGUUGGGAAAGAAAAGCAGCAGGUUAAUACCCCGCUGUUCUGACGGUACCCAAAGAAUAAGCACCGGCUAACUUCGUG
rnacentral:rRNA from 1 species